UACGAAGGGGGCUAGCGUUGCUCGAAAUCAUUGGGCGUAAAGGGUGUGUAGGUGGCGCGCUAAGUCGGGUGUGAAAUUUCGGAGCUUAACUCCGAAACUGCAUUCGAUACUGGCGUGCUUGAGGACUGGAGAGGAGACUGGAAUUCAUGGUGUAGCAGUGAAAUGCGUAGAGAUCAUGAGGAAGACCAGUGGCGAAGGCGGGUCUCUGGACAGUUCCUGACACUGAGACACGAAGGCCAGGGGAGCAAACGGG
rnacentral:rRNA from 1 species